ensembl:snRNA U1 U1 spliceosomal RNA
AUACUUACCUGGCAGGGGAGAUACCAUGAUCACGAAGGUGGUUUUCCCAGGGCAAGGCUUAUCCAUUGCACUCCGGAUGUACUGACCCCUGCGAUGUCCCCAGAUGUGGGAAACUUGACUGCAAAUAAAC